rnacentral:lncRNA from 1 species
CAUGCACCCCCCCUAAAAAAAUAAAUCAAUAAAAAUUUAAAAAGAACUGAAGAGUAAGAGAAGGCCAGUGACGGGAGGCAGUGGGCCCUUGCCUCGCCCUCGCCUCGCCCUCUGACUAGCUUUAUGUGUCUGUGACCAGACCACCUGAUGAGAACAACCAGCACGAGACGUCCAUUUUGGCUCAGGGUUCCAGAAGUCCAAUCAGUGGCGGGCCGAGUCCACUGCCUGGGCCCGAGGGUAGGCAGCACAUCUAGGGAAUGGGCCAGCAGAGGAUAGCUGCUCAGCUCAUGGUGGGUCAGAAAGCAGAGAAAGAGACGGGGGACAGGCCACAGGGAAGAUGCCCCCUUCCAGGGCAGCCCCCAUGAACCCCCUCCUCCAGCCAACCCCACCUGCCCACCAUUUGCAUCCAGUCAGUCCACUCAAUCUAGGAUGGACGGGUGAGGUCACAGCCCCACAGUCCAGUCACUGCUCCUCUAGCUGCUCCUGCACUGGAUGGGUGAGGUCAUAGCCCCACAGUCCAGUCACCUCUCCUGUGGCCAUUCCUGCACUGGACGGGUGAGGUCACAGCCCCAGCCCAGUCACGGCUCCUCUGGCUGCUCCUGCACUGACAGGCACGUUGGGCCCCGUGUCCACAGACCCCUCCUGCCCCUCACCCCACAUGGCCCCCUGGUGUGUUGAGCGAGUUGUCCUGGCACCUGCUUUACUGUCUCAGAACAGACUUUUCCAUCAUGUAAAAUGUGUUGGGUUUGAGGCUCACAUUGGCCAACCCCUCGGGUUUACCUGCCACCAGGAUAGCCCCCAAGAGAAGCGUGUGGAGGAGCAUCCUGGACCUCAUCCCAUGUUCCUGUCACAGCGUCUCUCGUCCAUUUGACAUUCUUGCUCUGGGCAGAGGCAUCUCAUUAUUCACGCAGUUGAAGCUGGUCUUUGCGGGAGCAAGCUGGUGUGGGAGUCGGCUGUCCAUACGUGACACGCCAAGCACCCAGGUCCGUGACUGUGACUGUGCAGUUCCACCAGGUUUAGCAGGUGUCGGUCAGGUGCCCGCAGUGUGGGAGGGCUGUGGCCCCCUUCCCAGGGGCAAGGUCUGCCGAGCUCUGUGGACCUGAGGAGAGGGGUCAGCUCAGGGUCUGGUAAACAUUGAAGUGGCCAGAGGCAAGCACAUGGCCUGUCUGUACUUGUUAUUUUCGUCCACCUCCUGAUCCUCACCCUGGCUACAGCAUCAAGCCCUCUCAGGUUGACUCACUUAAGCGAUCUUCACCCUAUGGUGGGUGGGAUCGUCACGUAAGUAUGUCCACAAGGAGGUGAGCCGAGACUCAACGGGUGUUAGGCACACGUCUGCUGUUGAGACGAAGAGCCCAGGGCUUCUAAUCCAGGUCCAGCUCCUCCUCUGGAUGACAGGUGUUCUGUACGGUCUACAUGUGGUUCUUAGGUUAGGUUGGGUAUCAGAACCUCGUGAGGUUUCCAAAAAUCCUCACGUGCAGGCUAUACCCAGACCAGGUAGACCAGGAGUGGGACCUAGGUAUUGGUGUUUUGUUUUAUUUUUAAAAAUUAAUUUUCAUAAUAACAUAAAUUCCACCCUCCUCCCCAUUUUGAGUGCGAAGGCAUUUCAGUGGCAUCGACGACAGUGACGUUGCUGGGCCACGUCACCACCAGCCUUCUCCAGAACUGGAGCUCCGCACCCACCAGACACUAG